GACGAACGCUGGCGGCGUGCUUAACACAUGCAAGUCGAACGGAAAGGCCCUGCUUUUGUGGGGUGCUCGAGUGGCGAACGGGUGCGUAACACGUGAGUAACCUGCCCUUGACUAUGGGAUAACUUCAGGAAACUGGGGCUAAUACCGGAUAGGAGCUCCUGCUGCAUGGUGGGGGUUGGAAAGUUUCGGCGGUUGGGGAUGGACUCGCGGCUUAUCAGCUUGUUGGUGGGGUAGUGGCUUACCAAGGCUUUGACGGGUAGCCGGCCUGAGAGGGUGACCGGCCACAUUGGGACUGAGAUACGGCCCAGACUGCUACGGGAGGCAGCAGUGGGGGAUAUUGCACAAUGGGCGGAAGCCUGAUGCAGCGACGCCGCGUGCGGGAUGACGGCCUUCGGGUUGUAAACCGCUUUCGCCUGUGACGAAGCGUGAGUGACGGUAAUGGGUAAAGAAGCACCGGCUAACUACGUG
rnacentral:rRNA from 1 species